GGCGGGGCAUCGGCCGGCGGGAGCCCCGCAACCCCUCACUGCCCUCGGAGCCACCGGUUCGAGUCCCGCGCCCGCGCCCCGCCCGGCUGAGGAAGACUCUGCUUGUUGUUGCAGCUUUGAGAGGUGUCUAGAGAUGCAGCCAAGCACCAAAACAGGACAGAAGCUGAGGCAGAGAUGUUCAUCAGGAUGUUUUCAUAGAAAUCAUUGUCUGUGAUGACUUCACGCUGUAAUUUAGCUGAUUUUAGUCAUGGAAUAAUUUAAAUGUUCCCAUUGGUCAGCUGUCUGUGGAGACAACAUCAAGAGCAUGUGAGGCUUUAUCAAAACACUGGACAGUGUUAUUUAUAAACUUAUCAGACCUAUAUUUUAUAAAUCUUAUAAAAAAAUUGGUUCUUAAAUUUA